UAGGGAGUAGUAAAAUGGAAUUACGUAGAGUUUUGAUCUCUUAAUUAUAGGUUCAAUUCCUAUCUGCCUAA
rnacentral:tRNA from 1 species